rnacentral:rRNA from 1 species
AGUGAACGCUGGCGGUAGGCCUAACACAUGCAAGUCGAACGGCAGCACAGUGAGAGCUUGCUCUUACGGGUGGCGAGUGGCGGACGGGUGAGGAAUACAUCGGAAUCUACUUUUUCGUGGGGGAUAACGUAGGGAAACUUACGCUAAUACCGCAUACGACCUACGGGUGAAAGCAGGGGAUCCUCGGACCUUGCGCGAUUGAAUGAGCCGAUGUCGGAUUAGCUAGUUGGCGGGGUAAAGGCCCACCAAGGCGACGAUCCGUAGCUGGUCUGAGAGGAUGAUCAGCCACACUGGAACUGAGACACGGUCCAGACUCCUACGGGAGGCAGCAGUGGGGAAUAUUGGACAAUGGGCGCAAGCCUGAUCCAGCCAUACCGCGUGGGUGAAGAAGGCCUUCGGGUUGUAAAGCCCUUUUGUUGGGAAAGAAAAGCAGCAGGUUAAUACCCCGCUGUUCUGACGGUACCCAAAGAAUAAGCACCGGCUAACUUCGUG